GUGCCAGACUCCUACGGGAGGCAGCAGUGGGGAAUAUUGCACAAUGGGGGAAACCCUGAUGCAGCGACGCCGCGUGAGCGAUGAAGUCUUUCGGUAUGUAAAGCUCUAUCAGCAGGGAAGAAGAUGACGGUACCUGACUAAGAAGCCCCGGCUAACUACGUGCCAGCAGCCGCGGUAAUACGUAGGGGGCAAGCGUUAUCCGGAUUUACUGGGUGUAAAGGGAGCGUAGACGGCGAUGCAAGCCAGAUGUGAAAGCCCGGGGCUCAACCCCGGGACUGCAUUUGGAACUGUGUGGCUGGAGUGUCGGAGAGGCAGGCGGAAUUCCUAGUGUAGCGGUGAAAUGCGUAGAUAUUAGGAGGAACACCAGUGGCGAAGGCGGCUUACUGGACUGUAACUGACGUUGAGGCUCGAAAGCGUGGGGAGCAAACAGGAUUAGAUACCCCCGUAA
rnacentral:rRNA from 1 species